rnacentral:sRNA from 17 species
UACAACCUUUUGCUGAGUCCAAAUUUUGGAGCGGGGGAACCAAUUAUGUAGCUUUUUGCUACUUGGGGCGAAUCUUUUUUAAGUAGGGAAACUCUCACUUCCCGAGUCCGACAGCUAACCUCGUAAGCGUAAUGGGAGAGGAAGG